GUUCAUUAACUGCUCUCAGUAAUCCACUGAUCCUGCCACUACCUUUUACUCAUGCAUCUCUAUAGGUGCUUCUGGUGAUUUAUUCAGUCUUCUCGGAGCAAUGCUGUCGGAGCUUCUCACUAACUGGACCUUAUAACCACACAAGAUUUAUCUUUUCUUUCUCUCAUUUCCUUUUUGAGGCUCAUGAGUUUUGUACUGCUGCUCGAACCUCAGUUUGCAUAGUUGGAACGGCACAAUCUGCCUCCUGGAAGGAAGGUCCCACAAAGACAUAAGGCUUACCAGUUAAUAUUAUUGGUUGUUGCGCUCACAUUGAUCAUAGUUGGUUUUACUGUUGGGCUGAUAAUACUAUUCCGUUGGGCGGAUGCGAAUGAUCAUUGCCACUGGUGUCAUUAUGCAGCGUAAGGACAGUCCACUUCAUAAAAUCCAUCGUCAUUUGCAACACACCUGGGCCAACUUUGCGGCAAUCUUUUAUUACAAAGAAUCUCAUUGCGCUUCCUAUACUCUAUUUCUGCAAGCAUGGAAGCAUUAGUUUUUGCUCAGCUUACUGUC